rnacentral:tRNA from 1 species
AUUUUCAAAGGAUAGCAGCAAUCCAAUGGUUUUAGGAACCAUCACUUCUUGGUGCAACUCCAAGUGAAAAUA